CCUACGGGUGGCAGCAGUGAGGAAUAUUGGUCAAUGGACGGAAGUCUGAACCAGCCAUGCCGCGUGCAGGAUGACGGCUCUAUGAGUUGUAAACUGCGUUUGUACGAGAAAAAGAGUUCUUACGUGGAGGGAUUUGAAUGUAUCGUAAGAAUAAGGAUCGGCUAACUCCGUGCCAGCAGCCGCGGUAAUACGGAGGAUUCGAGCGUUAUCCGGAUUUAUUGGGUUUAAAGGGUGCGUAUGCUGUCGGACAAGUUAGAGGUCAAAUGUCGGGGCUCAACCCAGGGCCUGCCUCUGAUACUGUCAGACUAGAGAGCCGAUGCAGCAGGCGGAAUGAGUAGUGUAGCGGUGAAAUGCUUAGAUAUUACUCAGAACACCGAUUGCGCAGGCAGCUUGCUACUCCGCAUCUGACGCUGAUGCACGAAAGCGUGGGUAGCGAACAGGAUUAGAUACCCGUGUAGUC
rnacentral:rRNA from 1 species